UACGAAGGGGGCUAGCGUUGCUCGGAUUCAUUGGGCGUAAAGGGUGCGUAGGCGGUCGCGCAAGUCGGAUGUGAAAUCUCAGGGCUCAACCCUGAAACUGCAUUCGAUACUGCGUGGCUAGAGUGCUGGAGGGGAGACUGGAAUUUACGGUGUAGCAGUGAAAUGCGUAGAUAUCGUAAGGAAGACCAGUGGCGAAGGCGAGUCUCUGGACAGCAACUGACGCUGAGGCACGAAGGCCAGGGGAGCAAACGGG
rnacentral:rRNA from 1 species